rnacentral:rRNA from 1 species
UUGGAGGGCAAGUCUGGUGCCAGCAGCCGCGGUAAUUCCAGCUCCAAUAGCGUAUAUUAAAGUUGUUGCAGUUAAAAAGCUCGUAGUUGGAUCUAGGGACGCGCAUUUCAAGCGCCCGUGUCGUCGGGUCAAACCGGCGACUGCGUUGGCGUUGCGGGCUCGGUCCGUCGGUGCCCACAAAAGCAUCGGCGUGUCAACCGGCCCGCCCGUCCCCUCCUUCUGGAUUCCCGUUCCUGCUAUUGAGUUAGUGGGGACGUCACAGGGGGUCCAUCGUCGGUCAUGCAAAUGGCCGGCGGUGGGUCUCUGGGGCCCAGAUCGUUUACCGUGAAAAAAUUAGAGUGUUCAAAGCAGGCAGAUCCAAUUUUCUGCCACCGAAUACAUUAGCAUGGGAUAAUGGAAUAGGACCCUGUCCUCCUAUUUUCAGUUGGUUUUGGCAGCGCGAGGACUAGGGUAAUGAUUAAUAGGGAUAGUUGGGGGCAUUAA